rnacentral:lncRNA from 1 species
CGCGCGUGCGUGGCGGUCGAGGGGAGGGUAGUGGUGUGGUGUGGUGUCGUUGGUGGGGGUCGGGCCCUUUUGGGCAGCUCUUUCGGGUGGUGGUGGUACGAACAGCGCUCAGUACCGCAGGGCUGCCCGCGGGGCCGGAGCCGAGAGGUGCGGGUGGGCAGCGCGUGGUUGCGUGGUGCGGCCGUACGUGGAGGGCGCCGUGCCGGGACGAGGAGCUGCCCGCGGUGGGGUCCUGCACAGCCCGAGCGUGUUUAAAAACAAAACAAUGAGGUUUUCAGCAGCCCGACUUGAUAACCCGCAUUCCUGAGAUGCUAGGCGUUUAUGCAUCUUCAUUAGCAUGACACGAGCGUGAGUCUGCAGCCAGAAAGCGGCUUCUCCGUUCGUUUAUCUGAUCAGUGCGCUUCAGGAAUUGCUGCUGACAGCUCAAUGGGGCCUCUCUGCAGCCACAGCUCCGUCUGUGCCCGAUGCUCAGCACAGCUCCGCUCUCCGGAGCUGCUCGCACAGCUCCCCACCCACCCCAGCCAUGAAGCAGGAAGCAACGAGUUGGAAUCGAUAGCUGGCAUUGCUUGUGGAGUAACCUCAGGCACUGACAUGUGAAAUGUGCUCUUCCCAUUGCUGGCCUAGAAAAUACACACAGCUUAAAUUAUGGACGUUGUAACUUCGCAGAGGCUGAUCUGUGCUGGAGGGUCGGGGGUGCGUCCAGGUGCAGCAGAUGGGACUGUUGCCAAAGUGUGUCAGAUAAGCUCUGCAUGGUGCUGUUAAAGGCAUGGCUUGCACAGGAAAUGGCCUGUUUGCUUUGGUGAUGCCAGCAGGGCAUUGCAGGCACAGCUCAACUGCUUCUCAGAGCUGCUGCUGCCAUUCCAGACACUGCGACGUCCAUGCAGACGUGGGACUGCCAUAGGAUUGAGCCCCUCUGGCCUUGCCUCCCUUUGUCUGGUGCCAGGAAUGCUGCAGGACACCAGUGACAAAUAACACAGCAAAACAGACUGCACAUCUGAGGCAGCUUUGAGCCCAUGCCAUGCAUGCAGCUUUCCUCUGUGCAGCACUUCCUGGAGCUCAGCUCAGCAGAGCUUCUGCAGGAUUGGAGUCUAAAUGAGGCCAUGCUGUAACGUGAGGCACAGCAGCAAGGAGGAGCUGAGAGGGAGAUGAGUGCAGCAGUUAGAAGACACCACGUGGACUUAGCGAUUUGCAAGCACUCUCUGCCUGGUACCCCAGCUGAGGGUUUCUCUCUCACUGCAGCAGCACUUCCUGAGGGAAUCUGCUUCCUCUACCUGAUUUCUCUGGUUGUUGGAGCUGCUGAACUUCCUCCAGAAGAGGCCCAGCAGCAGCAGCUUCUCUGUUGUGAGGCCCUUUGGAUUUCAUUUGCCUGCUAAAAGGUGCAAUUGCUGAUCUGGCCACUGAGGAAUCAUCAUCAGCGCAUCUCCUGGCAAAGCAAAGCACCUCCUUCCAGAAAAGCUGGUCCAAGAGAGAAGCCGUGUGCUGAGUCAGCCUGGCAGCUGUAUUUCCUGCUCCAGUUCUCUCCUUCUGCAUGAUUCACUCCAGUUCCCUGCCAGGAAGCCUUGGUCCUGGGUGAGACAGUGAGAGGCAGAGGGAUGCUCCUGCUGUCCUGCACCAGGAUAUUGGAGACCAGCUCCUGUGUGUCCUGGCUGCCCCGCAAGUAAUGUUGGUGCUGCAAGGAAAGGUGGGAAACUCAGAGUCACCAAAAGACUUGCUUGAGUUUCUUUGUCUGUUAGCAGUCCUGUGCUCUUGCCACAUGGCACUUUUCCUUCCAGACAGCUCUGGACAAUGGCUGUGAAUGCACGGGACAGCAUAUUGUCUGGCUGUGUGUAUUGCUUUUAUAUGGGCACUUGAACUAAAAGGGUAAAUCCUUUUAACUGUGGUGUUUUGAAGAGAGCAGCACAUUAGCCGGGAAGGAGGGUGGGCAGAUGAGAAGAGCUGUUUUAUUCAAUAUUGCUGCCACAGUUCAUACAGUCAGCACUGCCAAGACUUUGGGCGUAGCCAGUCUGACAUGGGAAACUGAUUGUUCAGUGCUGUUGCCUGGCUGCUGCUUGGAGCUGCAGCUCUGUGCUGUCUGCCUGGUGCUGAAGGCUUGGGGUCAGACCCAGCAAUUGCUGCUCAUCCCCUCGGAGAGGCACCGAUCCCACGCUGGUGGGUUUGGUUCUGUCUGGACUGUGCUCAGUUUGCUUCAGCACCAGUUUGUGAAAAUGCAACUGCAUGAUCUGCUGAGCUCAGACCUGCAAACAGAGCCAAGAGCCUCUCUGGCUUUGGAUCAAACUUUGCUGUGGUUACAUGGAUCGUGUGAUGGCGCAGCUGAUCCUUCCAGCAUUGUGUUCUUGCUUUUGGCCUCUUCGGUUGCACAAAGAGCUCAAAACAUUGUCCCCCUGAUCUGUUACUUAGUGAUACUAGGAUUGUCCUCCAGGAGUUGUUGAGGAAACUCCUCUGCCUGCAUUCCUGUUUAUCAGAGACUCCUUCCCAGCGUGCCAGCCCAUGCACAAAGCCUUCAGCAUCCUCAGCUGUGGGACAUGUGAACAGACACAGCUCCUCCCUCCGGCACAAUGGCACUCUCUUCCCUGCUCAGGACAGCGUGCCACGUCGGUCAGUUCCUCAAGAGCUUUGGUUCUCAGAAUUGAGUUAAAUCAGGCCUAAGCUGGACUCUGAGCCCUCCUUGAGAUAUUUUGACAGAGAAAUGUAUGCCUUGAAACGACUUGAAAAGAACUGUAGGGAGGGAGGAGAGCAGGAAAAAGCAUCGGCUGUGAGCGGCUGCCCUCUCCCGAGAUCUCUCCCCCUGCAAAGAGUGCAGCCUUGGCUCCUCUGUGACCUCUUUCUUCCUGCAGGGUAAUGAAAGUCAGCUCACUGUAAUGGCAGGCUGAAAGUCAGCUGCUCUGCCACAGGGUUAGUCCUCCGGAUAGAUGAAAGGAAAGUGGUUUGAUGUCCAAACGACUGUCACAGCUUUAAAGAAGAAUUAAAGCCAGAUGUUUCCAACCAGCCUGCUGAGAACAGCCUUUUCUGACAUAUUUGCCAAACCACCAAGGAGACCCAGCCAGUGCCUGCAGCGCUGCAUGUUGGGAAAGCACUGAUCCCAAAGGCUGUGCUGCAGUUGCUGGAGCACCCUGGCUGUCCGGAAUGAGCGCACCCGCAGGGCUGGGGCAGACAGUGCUGCCAGCUCAGUGUUUGUGCACCAUUGCUCAGUGUUUACUCCUCACUGAUCGUGGUGAUGACAGCAAGAUUGUGAUUGUAAACACAUCAAAUUCAACACCUUUUGCCUUGGGACAAAGUAUUGUAGGUAUUGAAGGUAUUGUAGGUGUUAAAGGUAUCGUAACUGGGCUGGCAUCAGCUCUCAGGUUGGUGGCUUGUAAUGGUUAAUGGAGUCCAGAAUGUCAUCCCUGUCCCUGGCUGCACUCGGGCUGAUGUUCAGUCUAACAGGCAGAGCUUUUCCUGCACUGGGAUCCCAUCAGAACAAGGAAGAAUGCAUUUUAGUCUCGCCUCACACACACAGUGUUUGUAUUCAGCUGUGACUGAGGCCAAUGACUGUUCCUGUGUGGGUAGAACUGAGGUGAAAGCCGAGGAACAGGAAAAUGGAAUCCUUGCCUCGGUGUAAUCAGGGACAGAUCUGCACUUCCCGCUUUGCUGGGAGUAACGCAGACCUCAGGACUGCUGGCUGUGUGGUUCCAGCUCACACCCAAAGCUAAUUAAUCUUUCUGCCAGCAUAGCUGCUCCAGGCUUCUGCCUACAAUAGGUAUUGCUCUUUUACCUUUGUCAGCCUGCCUGCUGGUUACAACGUUCACCUUCUGGGCUCUUCAGGACAAAUUCCCGAUGCUGUGCCCUCAGCGCUGCUUUGAGGUGGAGUUUCCCCUCGCGAAAUCAGGGGGCGCUGGAAAUGUCCUCUCGGCUCCGAUGCCUGGGAAAGGUUUUGCUCGCUGUUCUAUGGGGAUGUGUCACAGCCCUCCUCCUCCUCCUGCCGGCGUGCUUCGUCCUCUGGGGCAGCAGGUGAGGUGCUGCUGAGAUGCCACGUGCUCAGAAGGUGCAAAAAUAAAUAGAGCAGAGGGAAGGUAGGAUGUGGGGAGUCCCAGUUUUUACUGGCAUCCACUCACAAUCAGAUGAUUGGACCAGUAACAAAAAAUAAAUCCCUCUCUCGUCUGACUCUACAAACUGAGCCAUAGAAAGGAGCUUUCUUCCAUGCCCUUCGUCUGUUCUCACAAUACAACAUCUCAUUUCAGCAUCCAUUCAUUCUGCUCUGCCGCAUCACAGACAGAGGCACGAUUGUUUCUGCUGCGAUCCCAAAACCAACUGUGCAGGGAGGGCCACUGGGAGCUGCUCGGUGGGGCAGAGCAGUCCUGGUGGAGCUCAGGGAAGGCUGUCGGCCUCACCGCCCUCCUGGAGGUUAACAGAAGACCAACAGGAAGGAAUCCGGACUGUGAUGUAAACACAGAGUUGUUUCUCUUUGCCUCUCAGAUGGGUAUUAAAUGUGAUCUGAUUAUGGCUUGUUCUGUUUCUUGAAUUGUCCCAUCCGAAUUGCUCCCUUGGAAGACAAACAAUUAUUGUUAAAUGAAUUAUUCAGUAGCUCUAUAGACUGGGUCUGUUUUUCUGCCCCAUUGCACGUGAAGCCCGCUGAGGCUGUAAGUGAGUAAAUGCUCUGUCAGUAGUGGAAGUGUUUUGGCCAACAGCUGACCAACAACUUUACCAGGGCAAUUAAAUGGGGACGCCCUGCAGGAGCAAAGCAGAACCGCGGCCUCCCUGAAGUCCUGGAGCUCCUGUGGGAUUUCCAGAGCUCAACAGGCCUGAAAUGGGGCUCCGCACAACUCUGUGCUAUGAUUUCUCUAUUGCUGUGAUAUUGUAAUGGGUGCACUAAAAAUGAAUGAGCAGAUUCUGAAGAUAAAGAGGUCUGUAAAACAGGGAUAAGGCUUAAUUACUUCACAGGAGGGUUAAAGGAUUAAUGAAUUAAUGUUUGCAAAGUGCUUUGAAGAUGAAAUGUGCUAAGUCUGAUUAUAUCUGGUGGGUGGGGGAUACGAAUGGAAAGGAGGCGAUCAGUUCCAUCCUGUAGCCCCCAGGAACAAGGACUGGCUGAACGUCACAAUAA